GCGCAUCUGGUGUAGUGGUAUCAUAGUACCCUCCCACUGUACUGACCAGGGUUCGAUUCCCUGGAUGGGCA
rfam:Picea glauca, whole genome shotgun sequence.